rnacentral:piRNA from 1 species
UGAGGUUAUGGUCUCAUCAC